CAGCCACAUCACAUUGAAACACUGGCUCCCGUACGAUCAACAAAGUUAAGCAGUGUCGAGCUUGAUCAAUAUUUAGAUAGGUGACCGCUUGGGAAUACCAGGUGCUGUAA